GUUAUACAUUCUUACCAUCCUAGGCCAUACUAUGUGCAGUGUCUAUCUCCAGCAAUAGAAUGCUUCUUUCUCAGUCCACACACACUCCUUUUGACAGACUUUCCUUUCCAAGUAUUUUUAUAUUAAGUAGAACUACGGUCAGAUGCAACGAGUGCAGAUCAGGAUGGAGUCUCCUGCCCCCAUCCAGAGUCAAGAGGUGUGGAGUCAAGGGAAGGUGCAGGUACAGCUUGGAGGAGAUUCCAAGAACCUUGCUUUUGAGGAGCUCAACAAAAGACUGAAAGAUCAUAUCUAAAAGCAGAUAUCCAGUUGCACCUCCUAAUAUAUGUUACUCUGCAACUUUGAGCCAAGAGAAUGUCAAGAACAAUGAGUCCAGUUCGUUACAGACACAGCAAUUUUGUCUAGAAGCAAUUUUUGUGUGGCUUCAAGCUCUCAUGCAUUACCAAGCAAAAAGCCUGAAAAUAGCUGAAAAUAACUGUUUAACUGUAAACCGCUCAGAGAUGCCAGUUUUGGGCGCUAUAGAAAUAUGUUAAAUAAAUA